CCUACGGGUGGCAGCAGUAGGGAAUCUUGCGCAAUGGGCGAAAGCCUGACGCAGCAACGCCGCGUGGGGGAUGAAGGCUCUCGGGUUGUAAACCCCUUUCAGCAGGGACGAAAACUGACGGUACCUGCAGAAGAAGCCCCGGCCAACUACGUGCCAGCAGCCGCGGUAAUACGUAGGGGGCAAGCGUUGUCCGGAUUUAUUGGGCGUAAAGAGCUCGUAGGCGGCUCGGUAAGUCGGAUGUGAAACCUCCAGGCUCAACCUGGAGACGCCAUCUG
rnacentral:rRNA from 1 species